rnacentral:rRNA from 1 species
UUACCCGCUGAAACUUAAGCAUAUCAAUAAGCGGAGGAAAAGAAACUAACAAGGAUUCCCAUAGUAACUGCGAGUGAAGCGGGAAAAGCUCAAAUUUAAAAUCUGGCGGUCUCUGGCCGUCCGAGUUGUAAUCUAGAGAAGUAAUGCCCGUGCUGGACCGUGUAUAAGUCUCCUGGGAUGGGGCGUCAUAGAGGGUGAGAAUCCCGUCUUUGACACGGACUACCAGUGCAUUGUGGUAUGCUCUCAAAGAGUCGAGUUGUUUGGGAAUGCAGCUCAAAAUGGGUGGUAAAUUCCAUCUAAAGCUAAAUAUUGGCGAGAGACCGAUAGCGAACAAGUACCGUGAGGGAAAGAUGAAAAGAACUUUGGAAAGAGAGUUAAACAGUACGUGAAAUUGCUGAAAGGGAAACGCUUGAAGUCAGUCGCGUUGGCCGGGGAUCAGCCUUGCUUUUGCAUGGUGUACUUUCUGGUUGACGGGUCAGCAUCAAUUUUGACCGCUGGAAAAAGACCUGGGGAAUGUGGCAGCUUCGGCUGUGUUAUAGCCCCUAGUCGCAUACAGUGGUUGGGAUUGAGGAACUCAGCACGCCGCAAGGCCGGGUUUCGACCACGUUCGUGCUUAGGAUGCUGGCAUAAUGGCUUUAAGCGACCCGUCUUGAAACACGGACCAAGGAGUCUAACAUGCCUGCGAGUAUUUGGGUGGAAAACCCAAGUGCGUAAUGAAAGUGAAAGUUGAGAUCCCUGUCGUGGGGAGCAUCGACGCCCGGACCAGAACUUUUGGGACGGAUCCGCGGUGGAGCAUGUAUGUUGGGACCCGAAAGAUGGUGAACUAUGCCUGAAUAGGGUGAAGCCAGAGGAAACUCUGGUGGAGGCUCGUAGCGAUUCUGACGUGCAAAUCGAUCGUCAAAUUUGGGUAUAGGGGCGAAAGACUAAUCGAACCAACUAGUAGCUGGAUGCUGCCG